rnacentral:rRNA from 1 species
GACGUAGGGGGCGAGCGUUAUCCGGAGUUACUGGGCGUAAAGGGCACGUAGGCGGUGCGACGCGUUUUGCCAGACAGCUGCCGGCUUACCUGGCAGAGCAGGCGAAAGACGGUCGCACUUGAGGGCCAGAGAGGGACCUGGAAUUCCGGGUGGAGCGGUGAAAUGCGUAGAGAUCCGGAGGAACACCGAAGGCGAAGGCAGGGUCCUGGCUGGUGACUGACGCUGUGGUGCGAAAGCCAGGGGAG